ACUAGAAGCCAAGAUUUUGGCAGCACCUGGAUAAUGAUUCUGAAUCUAUAUAAUGGUUAGCUAGAGCAUAAAGCUGACUGUUGCUCUCUUAUUUGUCCUCUGAACUUACCUUUGGAAGCAUGCCAAAAAAACAAACAAAAGAACCUUUACUUUCUAUCUACUUUUUAAUCUCUUCCUCCUUCUCCUCUUUCCCCUUGUUUUUCCUCCUCCUCCCCUACAUUCUCUUUUUUCCCUUCCCCCUCUCUUUCCUACUUAUACUAUUAUUACCACCCAUUUCUUUUUCUUCAUCAAUUUCAGGGUUGUUAUUUCAUUGUUAAAUCAUAUCUGACACAUUUUGCGACCCCAAGGACUCUAGCCAGCCAGGGUCUUCUGUCCAUGCGAUUUCCCAGCAGAACUGCAGCCACAAGGCUUUUCACAAGUGAAAGGUGACAUAAAACAUAUAAAUCUGCAGAAUGGGCCCAGAGAAUCCCAAAGCCUUCUUUGAUGCUAGAAAUGGUGGUGAGAGAAGAGUGGAGCAGAAACCAGUCUCUUGAUCAAGGUUAAAAGUGGGAAAAUACAGUCUAUCUGUCCAAGAGAUCAAAAGAAGCAUCUUCGAGGAAAUAUGCCAGUAUACUGAAGGUUAGACAUCAUACUGAAGAAUUUACCACUCUAAGAUUUUAGCAAAUGUCACAUCUAAGGCUGUGAUUUACACAAUCAAAACCUCUAUCUUUAAGGCAGACAUUUUCAGAGGAAAAUAAAAACUAAGUUACCAAGUU